rnacentral:rRNA from 1 species
GCCUAACACAUGCAAGUCGAGCGGAAACGACACUAACAAUCCUUCGGGUGCGUUAAUGGGCGUCGAGCGGCGGACGGGUGAGUAAUGCCUAGGAAAUUGCCUUGAUGUGGGGGAUAACCAUUGGAAACGAUGGCUAAUACCGCAUAAUGCCUACGGGCCAAAGAGGGGGACCUUCGGGCCUCUCGCGUCAAGAUAUGCCUAGGUGGGAUUAGCUAGUUGGUGAGGUAAUGGCUCACCAAGGCGACGAUCCCUAGCUGGUCUGAGAGGAUGAUCAGCCACACUGGAACUGAGACACGGUCCAGACUCCUACGGGAGGCAGCAGUGGGGAAUAUUGCACAAUGGGCGAAAGCCUGAUGCAGCCAUGCCGCGUGUAUGAAGAAGGCCUUCGGGUUGUAAAGCACUUUCAGUCAGGAGGAAAGGUUAGUAGUUAAUACCUGCUAGCUGUGACGUUACUGACAGAAGAAGCACC